UACGGAGGAUGCAAGCGUUAUCCGGAAUGAUUGGGCGUAAAGCGUCCGCAGGUGGCUAUGUAAGUCUGCUGUUAAAGAGUCUAGCUCAACUAGAUAAGAGCAGUGGAAACUACAAGGCUAGAGUACGUUCGGGGCAGAGGGAAUUCCUGGUGUAGCGGUGAAAUGCGUAGAGAUCAGGAAGAACUCCACUGGCGAAGGCGCUCUGCUAUGCCGUAACUGACACUGAGUGACGAAAGCUAGGGGAGCGAAUGGG
rnacentral:rRNA from 1 species